UACGAAGGGGGCUAGCGUUGCUCGGAAUUACUGGGCGUAAAGCGCACGUAGGCGGAUUGUUAAGUCGGGGGUGAAAUCCUGGAGCUCAACUCCAGAACUGCCAUGGAUACUAUCUAUCUUGAAUGUCGUGGAGGUUAGCGGAAUAUGUCAUGUAGCGGUGAAAUGCGUAGAGAUGUGGAGGAAUACCGAUGGCGAAGGCAGCCCCCUGGGAUAACACUGACGCUCAUGCACGAAAGCGUGGGGAGCAAACAGG
rnacentral:rRNA from 1 species